UGGGGAAUAUUGGACAAUGGGGGCAACCUUGAUCCAGCCAUGCCGCGUGGGUGAAGAAGGCCUUAGGGUUGUAAAACUCUUUCAGCGGGGAAGAUAAUGACGGUACCCGCAGAAGAAGCCCCGGCUAACUCCGUGCCAGCAGCCGCGGUAAUACGGAGGGGGCUAGCGUUGUUCGGAAUCACUGGGCGUAAAGCGCACGUAGGCGGAUCAGUCAGUCAGGGGUGAAAGCCCGGGGCUCAACCUCGGAACUGCCCUUGAUACUGCUGAUCUUGAGAUCGAGAGAGGUGAGUGGAAUUCCUAGUGUAGAGGUGAAAUUCGUAGAUAUUAGGAAGAACACCAGUGGCGAAGGCGGCUCACUGGCUCGAAACUGACGCUGAGGUGCGAAAGCGUGGGGAGCAAACAGGAUUAGAUACCCGUGUAGUCC
rnacentral:rRNA from 1 species